rnacentral:misc_RNA from 1 species
ACAAAAUGGAUGGCAAUAAAUUGGAUGAUCUGGUAUGCGUCAGGCAUUCCUUGAAAUCCGACGCAUAAGCAUAAGCGCAGCUGUGUUUUUGUGCUUCAGUUGGUUGCAAGGAGGCAGAUCUCUGUUGGUUAUUAUCAAUAUGGCAUGAAACUAACUUCCUUUGAGAUGAGCCUCUUGGAUGAUGAAACACAGGGCGGUCCUAGCACCCCAAUCCCCCACACCAACACCCGCAAAC